rnacentral:rRNA from 1 species
AUGCCGCGGCGCUCCCAGAUCCGCGGUUGCUCGUCUUCGCGGCCGACGGACACGUCCUCGACAAUGAAGGAUUCGAGGGCGCUCGGAUCUGCACUGGCGCGGCCGACGGCUGCCGGGACGGAGCUGCUCCGUGCUCCACGACCAGGUGAACGCCUCCGCCUCCGCCGCCCAAGGCCAUGCCUUCUUCACACUCCUGUCGUCGCACGACGGGGGAGGAGGUCACUGCUUCCUCCUCCGUAUUUCACCGAGAGAGAAGGGCGCCGGCUGGUGUGCAUCUUCUCGGGCAACCACGCGGCCGUGCGGUCAGACGCCGCUCCUCCGCGCGAGGACUGGACAGGACAGGGCUGGGCGCGGCUCGGUUGGGGGGCAACUCCGAUCUUGGCGAUGCCAUGGAGAUUCUUCAAGAUCAUGACUUGGUGUUCUAUUGUGGUCACUUCUUCUUUCCAACUAGAUAAAUAUAUUGUUAUUCUCCUUUAUAGCUAUGCACGACUGGUUCACAAGGACAGCAAGGACCGCCACCGUGAUGGAAGAUGCACGAAGUGGCCGCCGCCGCCGCCCCAAGACCAAACCUGCCUCCUCCGCAUGUGUUCCACUUGCUGUAUAGGAGCUGUGCACGGGCUGGUUCACAAGGACAGCAAGCACCGCCACCGUAAUGGAAGAUGCUUGAAGUGGAUGCGCCGCCCAAGACCAAACCCGCCUCCUGUGCACUUGCUCGCUUGCUGUACAGUGGCCACCCAUGGCUCGUCGUCACGACUGACGGCCAGGUCAGAUGGCUCUCACAUCUGCGCUAGCGCGGCUGAAGGCGAUCGGGACGGAGGUCUUCCAGGGUCAGGUGAGCGCCUUCGCCACCCAAGACCCAGCCUUCUCCACACUCGCGCCGGGAGAGGAGGCGGGGGCGGUCGCUGCUUCCUCCGCCAUCUUCCACCGAGAGAGGAGGUGGCCUCUAUGCUUCUUCACGGGCAACGACGCGGCCGUGCGGUCGGACGCCGCUCCUCCGCUCCAGGACAGGGCUGGGUGCGCCUUGGUUGGGGGGCAACUCUGAUAUUGACGACGCCAUGGAGCUUCUUCAAGCUAUGCAUGGCCGGCUGGUUCACAACGGCAACAAGCACCGUCACUGUGACGGAAGAUGCUCGAAGUGGACGCUUCUGCCCAAGACCAACCUGCCUCCUCCAAUGCUUCCUCCGUACAUGUUCCGCUUGCUGUACAACUGUGUACGGCUGGUUUACAAGGACAACAAGCACCGCCACCGUGAUGGAAGAUGCUCGAAGUGGCCGCCCCCGCCGCCCAAGACCAAACCUGCCUCCACUGCUUCCUCCGCACGUGUUCUGA